GAAUUAUUUACCGUUCACCUUGCCUUGUCCCGAAUUAUUUACAGUCCUGCUUGCUGAUCUCAAUUUCAAUUUUGGGUCCAACUCUCACCUGACUUCACUCUCCGUCCAGGACACGGCGUUUGCUUUGCUGGCCACCGCCCGUAUCGGGAUGGAUUUCAAUAUCUCUGUCAUACUUCUUUCUUUCGUCUCUCCUACGGCGAUCACCGCCGACCGGUGCCACCAACAUAUGCCCGCCGCUUCUAUCUCGGAAACUCUCCCCGAAUUUCGGUUUCCUCUUUGCUCCAGAUCGACUUUUUCGCCCUUACAUUCUCCUUUUUGUUGCCGCUUUAGCUGCGAAUGCUGCGCCGUUAAAGCUUCCUUAUACACUGCAUUUCGUCUCUUCACUAUUAAACUGGUUGGUCUUGUGUCAGGCUAUGACUCAAUAACAUGAAUUCCAUAUCAGGUGUUAAGGCAUUUGUCUUCCCAAAUGAUAUACUUUAUAUAUAACUUUCCUUCUCCGUUAUUGUGGAAGUUUCUGAUUUCACCUAUUAUCGACUUGUUAAAAUUGCAAAUGGGACUGUGAUUGACCAUUCGUGGCUGUGUGCAAAGAUGUUCACAAAAAGAUGAUCCAAAAAAGAAAAAGAAGGGUACAGAAAAGAGACAUGUCUGUGGGACAAACAACCUUGUGAAUCCCACAAUCAACAGUGGGAUUGACCAUGCAAGGCUUAUCCGAAAUACCUGUUGCUACUAUGAACAUAGUUCUCAUAUACUAUCAUCAUUGCGUAACAGAAUUUAUGGUCAACCCUGAGUGACCUCUUAGAAAUUAAUGUUUGGCAAUUGAUAUUUCCCAACUACUAAUGCCGGGAAAACUUGCUGUUACUGUGGCUUAUGUCUUAUGACACCCUUUGUGAGGGUCCGAAUAUUAGAAAUGUGAAUAGAAAUAUAUUUUGGGUUAUCCCAUCCAUGGAUCUGGACAACAUUCUUCUCACACAUAUUUCCUGUUGCGUCUUUUGCAUAUAAUGUGCUCCUAAGACUUCAGAGACAUGAUCAUGUUUUGCUUAUUAACUGGGAUAGUAAGCCCUUUAACUUGAGAACAAAUGGUUCAGGGUCACCAUCAGAUACUGGAAGAACCUUCAAGACAUGUAUGCUAAAGUCGAGAGCACUUUUAGAACCUUCACUGAAGUACCAAACUUGCUUAGCAAAUCCAACGGAAAAGUGGUUGGUGAUCUGAUGCCCCAGCUCCAGUAAUGAUACAUGAAUCUACGACCUUUUGAGGAUGCUUCAAGGCGUCACUCUAUACUUCAUUUUAUUGUUUCUUCGCGGUUUGCUAUUGUUUUUUAAUUUUUUGAGCAUCCAAUAUGGAGCAAGUAAAAGUCUAACUGUGAAUCUUGUCUUUAAUUGUCAGACCGCUACUCGAUACAAAAUACCCUGCCUUGCUAUCAUGACCAGUGAUGCCAAGCUGUUAAGAACCUGUGACGACAUUGUUUCAUAUGCAUGGUACUUUGUUUUCAGAGUGGACUCUUGCCCCUGAUUGGCUAAUUCCUUCACUUUGAAGAUUGAAAUUAUUACCAAAGAAAAUGUUGUCUGAUAGCGUAUUUAAACGAGCCACUUGAAGGGCUUGAUGAGUUUGAAAUUUGUUCAACUCCAACACACACAAGUGCAGGAGGCUUGAGUAAGGUGAUUCUUGCAAUUGAUGCAGUUUGAUUCUCAAGUUCAGGGGAAUCCGUAUUCCUAACUAAGAAGUGCAGUCAAGUUGGAUAUAGUUAACGCGAAAACACGGCAAAACUAGAACUGGAUCUAAGAGCAGUGGCAUCUCAUUAUUAAAGUUGAGCUGAUUUGUUUAUGAAUGGGCCCUGAACGUUGAGAUUAACUAUGAUUUUACAUUGUUUUUAUCUGGAGCGUUUUCAUCGAUAUCUGCUAGGCGAUACCUUUCAUGUCUUUUCUCCCAUCAUUUGGCCGGUGGUUGAACUGCGACAUUAUUGCCCAGGAUUACGCAUUCCUUCACUGCACAUACGACGACGAUAAUAAAAUGCCGAUGAAAUUCUUGUUAGACCGUGUUUACUUCAACCUAAUAUGAUUGGUUGGAUCGGGUUUGGAGUAGAAUUGUGUCAAGUGCCAAUAAUAUGAGAGUGAGUUGAGCUUAAGGCAACGUGUUUCUCAUAGGAACGUGACGAGAAUUUGAUAUCUUGGAAUGAUCAUUUUCAGAUAAAGUAUCUGAGAAAUAUCCGUUUCCCAUUAUUGGG